rnacentral:rRNA from 1 species
UACGAAGGGGGCUAGCGUUGCUCGGAAUCACUGGGCGUAAAGCGCACGUAGGCGGAUUGUUAAGUCAGGGGUGAAAGCCUGGAGCUCAACUCCAGAACUGCCCUUGAUACUGGCAAUCUCGAGUCCGGAAGAGGUAAGUGGAACUCCGAGUGUAGAGGUGAAAUUCGUAGAUAUUCGGAAGAACACCAGUGGCGAAGGCGGCUUACUGGUCCGGUACUGACGCUGAGGUGCGAAAGCGUGGGGAGCAAAC